UACAUGGGGUGCAAACGUUGCUCGGAAUCAUUGGGCGUAAAGCGCGCGUAGGCGGUUACUUAAGUUGGAUGUGAAAGCCCUCGGCUUAACCGAGGAAGUGCAUCCAAAACUGAGUAGCUAGAGUACGAAAGAGGGUCGCGGAAUUCCCGGUGUAGAGGUGAAAUUCGUAGAUAUCGGGAGGAACACCGGUGGCGAAGGCGGCGACCUGGGUCGAGACUGACGCUGGAGCGCGAAAGCGUGGGGAGCAAACAGG
rnacentral:rRNA from 1 species